rnacentral:rRNA from 1 species
GGGCUGCUCCUAGUACGAGAGGACCGGAGUGGACGCAUCACUGGUGUUCGGGUUGUCAUGCCAAUGGCACUGCCCGGUAGCUAAAUGCGGAAGAGAUAAGUGCUGAAAGCAUCUAAGCACGAAACUUGCCCCGAGAUGAGUUCUCCCUGACCCUUUAAGGUCCUGAAGGAACGUUGAAGACGACGACGUUGAUAGGCCGGGUGUGUAAGCGCAGCGAUGCGUUGAGCUAACCGGUACUAAUGAACCGUGAGGCUUAACCUUACAACGCCGAAGGUGUUU